UCCCUUGUCUAGACUAGCAUGCACGUCUAGUACAAACUAAAUGAUGGUGAAACUGCAAAUGGCUCAUUACAACGGUUAUGAUGUACCCGGGAGUUCCGAUGGAUAUUUCCAGUAACACUAGAACUAAUACAUGUCCCUGCGUUUAUUAGUUUCGCACAGUCCGUCGCUGAGUCAUGGUAAACAGUUGAUCGACUCGACGUCCCGGAACAGUUUCCGCCCCAUCAGCUUCGAUGGUUGGGUAUUGGCCUACCAUUGCAACAACGGGUAACGAGGAAUUAGGGUUUGAUUUCGGAGAGGGAGCCUGAGAAACGGCUACCACAUCUACGGAUGGCAGCAGGCGCGCAAAUUACCCAAUGCAGACACUGUGAGGUAGUGACGAGAAAUAAUAAAGCGGGACUUCUGUUUCGCUAUUAUAAUGAGGAAUAACCAAAGGUCAUUCCGAUUAGCAACUGAUGGGAAAGUCUGGUGCCAGCAGCCGCGGUAAUACCAGCGUCAGUAGC
rnacentral:rRNA from 1 species